UACGUAGGGUGCAAGCGUUGUCCGGAAUUAUUGGGCGUAAAGAGCUCGUAGGCGGUUUGUCGCGUCUGCUGUGAAAACUCGGGGCUUAACUCCGGGCCUGCAGUGGGUACGGGCAGACUAGAGUGCGGUAGGGGAGACUGGAAUUCCUGGUGUAGCGGUGAAAUGCGCAGAUAUCAGGAGGAACACCAGUGGCGAAGGCGACUCCUGGCCUGUUCUUGACGCUGAGAAGCGAAAGCAUGGGGAGCGAACAGG
rnacentral:rRNA from 1 species